UUUCGUAGGUAACCUGCGAAGGAUCAUUAAUAAAUGGUCUACGUUUUUUAAGUAGACGCUUAAUAAUCCCCUUUGUGAAUUUGUUUGAUUGAAUAUUUUUUUUUAAAAUUAUUGAAUGUCUUUCCUGUUGAAUUGGUUUGUCUUAAUGGCAAAUGAUUCGCAGGGAGUGUCAGUAAUUUUUAAAAAAGACUUUUUUAAAUUAACUUUUUGUAUCAUUUGUCUAAAUUAUUUUAUAAUAUAAAACAACUUUUGACAAUGGAUCUCUUGGUUCUCGCAACGAUGAAGAACGCAGCAAAAUGCGAUAAGUAGUGUGAAUUGCGAAUACGUGAAUCAUCGAAUCUUCGAACGCAUAUUGCACUUUUUAGUUUACUAAAAAGUAUGUCUGUUUGAGUAUCAGUAAAUAUUCUCAUAAAACUUUUUGUUUUUAUGGUUAUGAUGUUUUACAACGAUACAAGUUGUUUCACUUAAAUUUUUUUAAAAUUUGAAUUUUUCUAAUUUUAAAUAAAUUGGAUAAAUUUUCCGUAAAAAAGGAAUAACCUAAACAUUUAAUUUUUGAUUAGAAUUCUCAAUUAUAAAGGAAAUUUAACUAAAUAACUUGAUCUCAAUCAGAUAAGAGUACCGCUGAACUUAAGCAUAUCAAUAAGCGGAGGAAAGAAACUAACAAGGAUUCCUUAGUAACGGCGAGUGAAGCGGAAGAGCUCAAAUUUGAAAUCUUCAAGGUUUUACUUGACGAAUUGUAGUUUAAAAAGUGUUUUCUGUUGAAGUUUGGUAAAAGUUCUUUGGAAUAGGACAUCAUAGAGGGUGAGAAUCCGUAUUUGACCAUUAUUUCAGCUGUGUGAUACACUUUCAAAGAGUCGGAUUGUUUGGGAAUGCAGUCAAAAUGGGUGUAAAUUUCAUCUAAAGCUAAUAUUGGCGAGACCGAUAGCGAACAAGUACCGUGAGGAAAGAUGAAAAAACUUUGAAAAAGAGAGUUAAACAGUACGUGAAAUUGUCAAAAGGAAGCGUUUGACACCAGUGUUGUUUUCUCGAAAAUCAAUUAAAAAGAGUUGAUUUUGUGUUGUAUUGACCUUAACAGCUUGCUUCACUCUUUUCUUGCUUUUUUAAUGCACUUUUCGUUUAGCAAGUCAACAUCAUUUCUUUUGUUGUAAAAGGUCAUUGGAAGGUGGCUUCUCUUCGGAGAAGUGUUUAUAGCCUUUGAUCUCUGCAAUCGGAGAGACUGAGGUCUGCAGCGUAGAUCUUCGGGUUAGAUACAUUUGUGCUAAGCUACAGCUUUUCAUAGACAACGUGUUGACUAUGUUAGUCUUGUAACUUACCGCUUAUGCUAUUUUACUACGCUUAGAUG
rnacentral:misc_RNA from 1 species